AGGGUCAGUCAUAGUAGUAUGAUAGGUGUUGUUUUACAGGGUCAGUCAUAGUAGUGUGAUAGGUGUUGUUUUACAGGGUCAGUCAUAGUAGUAUGAUAGGUGUUGUUUUACAGGGUCAGUAGUAUGAUAGGUGUUGUUUUACAGUGUCAGUCAUAGUAGUAUGAUAGGUGUUGUUUUACAGGGUCAGUCAUAGUAGUAUGAUAGGUGUUGUUUUACAGGGUCAGUCAUAGUAGUAUGAUAGGUGUUGUUUUACAGGGUCAGUCAGAGUAGUAUGAUAGGUGUUGUUUUACAGGGUCAGUCAUAGUAAUAUGAUAGGUGUUGUUUUACAGGGUCAGUCAUAGUAGUAUGAUAGGUGUUGUUUUACAGGGUCAGUCAUAGUAGUAUGAUAGGUGUUGUUUUACAGGGUCAGUCAUAGUAGUAUGAUAGGUGUUGUUUUACAGUGUCAGUCAUAGUAGUAUGAUAGGUGUUGUUUUACAGGGUCAGUCAUAGUAGUAUGAUAGGUGUUGUUUUACAGGGUCAGUCAUAGUAGUAUGAUAGGUGUUGUUUUACAGGGUCAGUCAUAGUAGUAUGAUAGGUGUUGUUUUACAGGGUCAGUCAUAGUAGUAUGAUAGGUGUUGUUUUACAGGGUCAGUCAUAGUAGUGUGAUAGGUGUUGUUUUACAGGGUCAGUCAUAGUAGUAUGAUAGGUGUUGUUUUACAGGGUCAGUCAUAGUAGUAUGAUAGGUGUUGUUGUACAGGGUCAGUCAUAGUGGUAUGAUAGAUGUUGUUUUACAGGGUCAGUCAUAGUAGUAUGAUAGGUGUUGUUUUACAGGGUCAGUCAUAGUAGUAUGAUAGGUGUUGUUUUACAGGGUCAGUCAUAGUAGUAUGAUAGGUGUUGUUUUACAGGGUCAGUCAUAGUAAUAUGAUAGGUGUUGUUUUACAGGGUCAGUCAUAGUAGUAUGAUAGGUGUUGUUUUACAG